rnacentral:rRNA from 1 species
CAAGCGGUGGAGCAUGUGGUUAAUUCGAUGAUACGCGAGGAACCUUACCAGGUCUUGACAUCCCGGUGCUAUUUCUAGAGAUAGAAAGUUACUUCGGUACAUCGGUGACAGGUGGUGCAUGGUUGUCGUCAGCUCGUGUCGUGAGAUGUUGGGUUAAGUCCCGCAACGAGCGCAACCCCUAUUGUUAGUUGCCAUCAUUCAGUUGGGCACUCUAGCGAGACUGCCGGUAAUAAACCGGAGGAAGGUGGGGAUGACGUCAAAUCAUCAUGCCCCUUAUGACCUGGGCUACACACGUGCUACAAUGGUUGGUACAACGAGUUGCGAGUCGGUGACGGCGAGCUAAUCUCUUAAAGCCAAUCUCAGUUCGGAUUGUAGGCUGCAACUCGCCUACAUGAAGUCGGAAUCGCUAGUAAUCGCGGAUCAGCACGCCGCGGUGAAUACGUUCCCGGGCCCU